GACAAGGGCCUGACACUCUUUGAUAGAGAAAGAUAGUCUUAUUGCGAUUCCUAUAAGAGGAAAGAGAAAAUAGUGCAAUGCUUUGUCUUUAUCACCGACCGGGUUUUUUUUCAUGGUCGGGUUAUGGCAGCUUAGGAAGGAGGCUGAUGGCGAUAUACAGAAAUUUAUAAGAGUGAAAGAGACAAAAUCCCGCAAGAUGCCAUACAUUAAACUGUCAAUCAUAUUGUCAAGAGUGCUAGUAAACAAUGUGGUUUUCUUAUUGUAGAAGUUUUAUAAAGUGAAUGAUUGUCUUUAUUAAGUAUUUAAUGGAGGUGUAAGAUGUUUUUACGUACAAUUAACAUGGUGGGGUGUUCAGUGGUUGCCUACAAAAGCAAUAGCUUGCGAAAAUAAGCGGGUGUAACAUUUCAUGCCUUUCCGACGGAGGAUGAAAUUGUUAAAGAAUGGAUUGCGGGAACUGGAAAAUCAAAUUGGAUGCCUCACAAAUACUCGCGUAUUUGUUCCAAACAUUUUGAACAACAUUGUGUCCGCAAACUGGGCAAACGAACUUUCAUCGAAAAGUUUUCUUUUCCAACCUUGUUCAUACACGAGAGGAGAGAGAAAAUUCUUUUCUUCAUCAUGUCAUGGAAAUCGUCCAUUCGUGCACGUCGUCGUCGUGGCAGUCUCAACAGCAUUCUGAAGCUAUUAUUGAACUUCAUAUAAUUGAUCCACAGGUUACAAGUG